rnacentral:rRNA from 1 species
AAUUCCAUGCUAUCCUGAACACAUUCAGUUCAUCUGAUUUCAAAAGCUAAGCAGGAUCAGGUAUGGACAUGGAUGGGAAACCACCUAGGAACAAGGAUAUAGUGAAUAUUU